UCGAACGGGGAGGUUGUGCGCUUGGUCUCAUCCGAGCUCUCUUAACGUGGCUUUGACUUGACCUAAAAUUGCAACCUUGCUGACCUUCCUAGGGACUCGCUACCGGUACUGUGACCUUGCUAGUGACCCCGGCAGGACUUAUAGUGAAAACCGGGCGUGUGUGUCAAGUAGAAGUCGGCAGAAAGAAAAUAAAGAAUUGAAAAAAAAAAGUUUAUUGAAAAUGGUUCGUCUGUUUUCAAAAUUUGUCUUCCUUCUUGCUCUAAUUGCAACAGCCCGUUCGAAACCCAGCACAGGAGAGGACCCGGAGGAGCCUGGCGGGGAGGGCAAUGGAGGAGGAGGAGGAGGAAGAGGAGGAGGAGUACGUGGAGGAGGUUCCUGAGAUUCCUCCCUCCUUCAGCUCCUCUGGCCAAGAUUUCAAAGUGGAGGUUGGAGGAGACAUAACCUUCCCUUGCCAAGUGGAGAACAAAGGGACGUUUCUUCUGAUGUUCAGGCGAGUGCUGCCAAACGGAGACCAUCGCAUGCUCUUUGUGGGAGAUAUGAAUCUGAAGCCCUCCAAGAGACUCAGCAAGAGCGGGGACUCCUUCAUCCUGCAGGGCGUCAAGAGAAGCCACGCUGGGAAGUACGUGUGUCGCAUCGAGUCCUCUCCGGCUAUUGAAAUUGUCCAUUCCCUUGAUGUACAAUACCCAGCCUCGGUGCGGCGCAUGAGUCCAGCAGUGCAGCGGGUGAGGCACGGGGCCAGCCUCACCUUGGAGUGUCUGGCUGACGGCAACCCGCCCGCCGCCAUCAGCUGGAGCAGGCAGCAGGGACCCCUCCCCUCGGGUGCCCAGGCAGAGGAGGGCCAGAGUAUCCGCCUGCAGAAUGUGGACCGCCACGUGGCUGGUACCUACGUGUGCACAGCCUCCAAUGGUGUGGGGCGGCCGUCCUCCUCCACCAUGACCAUACAGGUGGAGUACCCGCCCGAGGUCACCACCAAGCAGGCACUGCACCACCUGGCUGAGGGGGACAAGGCACACUUAGAAUGCCAGGUUGUCGGCCACCCAACGCCAACAGUGACCUGGAGUAGGGAUGGGCGACCGCUGAGCCCUGACCCUCGCGUUGUCCCUUACCACGGGACGCUCCACCACAGCCUCACCAUCAGCCCCAUUCAAGAGGAAGAUUUUGGAGACUACACCUGCUCUGCUGAGAACUCGUUAGGGCAAGGAGAGCGUACCUUGCGACUGUCAGGACUCCCCAAGAAGCCUCGCAUGACUAGCAGUCCUGCAGGAGGCGAGGAGACGUCCUACACGCUGACCUGGGAGGCAGAAAGUCCUUCCCUCAUCACAAUGUACCGCGUGGAGUACAGACCCAGGCAGCAUGCAAGUGGCAGUCCAUUUCAGGGGGAGUGGAAAGUCCGCCUGCAGUCCACACAAGCCAUGACAGCCCACCCUGGCCCCUCCACCUCCACCCCUGCACCCCCUGGCCCUAUCUACCACCUGAGCCACGCCCUCCGAGACUUGCAGCCGGCCAGGGACUACGAGGCAGUGGUGGCAGUGGAGAAUAAGUAUGGAUGGUCAAGCAGGUCGGACGUGUUCAACUUUUACACGAGGAGAGUGUGACACCAGCCUUCCUCUCAGUUUUGCUGUGGCAGUGAGUGUCUUGCCAGCAGCAGGAAGAUGGAAUCUGCUUACAGCGAGGACACAAAACUCUAGUUACAUGGGAUUUUAGGGGUGUUUUUUAGGUUCUAGUGGCUGAUUAAUAAGAUUUGUAUAUUACUAACAGGAGAAGUCUUGAGAACCUGGCUAAUCAUCUCUGUGGUCAUGGAAAAUAGUCAUGAGGUUGCAGUGGGUCGGUCUGCCAGUGGGUGUGGUGGCGGCGCCCUCCUCAGCUCGGCUCUCUUGCCCCUCACGCUGCUCCUGGUCGCCUCACCACUCUGCUAAGGCUGCCGCAUUCUAGCGCUUCUUGCUAUGUUCAGC